ensembl:lncRNA
GACCCAAGGUCUUGCUAAGUUGCCCAGGCUGGGCUCCGACUUGCAAUCUUCCUGCCUCAGCCUCCCAGAGUGUUGAGAUCGCAGGAGGAUCCAGGACUCAGGUGACAGCAGGGACAGAACGCUUUGGGAGCACACCUCUUCUUCUCUCCAUGGGGGUGCUCCUCACCUUCCUGGGGACCCCUUGAGGGGGCUUGCAGCUGUCCAGCUCUUCUGCUUGGGCCAUGGUCGCUUAGCAUUUCUAUUCAGCACUUUAGGCGCCGGAACCACUGAGCUAAAUCCCUGGCCCCUAUUCAGCACUUUUGAAUGCGCUGCAGACUUGGCAACCUGUCACCCGCUGAGAUUGACUGGAAGUGAAGAAGUUAAAUGAGGCUCUAAAGAGGCAACCCUGCGUGAAGUGGCAGUUCUGUGCCAGUCUGCAGCCCUGGAUGGCUUUGCGUUGCUUAAGGAUAAACAGGGAUCGAACUUGGGUCCUUCCACUUGCGAGGCAGGUGGCAGAACCACCGAGCUAUGGCCAAACUGGUCUUCAAGCCAAGAUAUGAAUUUGCACCCAACCAACUGGACCCCGACCUUCAAAUUUAUUCCUAUGCCAGAAACCCUAGUGCCCUGCUGUUUCCUGAGGAAGUGCAGCCCUGUCAGAGGUCUUGACAUUCCGAGGAGCAUGGUUUCCUGGAGCUGCUUGCUACCGGGGUGAACUGGUCUGGCUGGGAUAUUUCUGGAGGGCCCUUGUUUCUUUUGCGGGGAGCCCCAGUGGUGCUUGGGCAGCUGAGGGAG